GACGAACGCUGGCGGCGUGCUUAACACAUGCAAGUCGAGCGAUGAAGUUCCUUCGGGAACGGAUUAGCGGCGGACGGGUGAGUAACACGUGGGUAACCUGCCUCAUAGAGGGGAAUAGCCUUCCGAAAGGAAGAUUAAUACCGCAUAAGAUUGUAGUAUCGCAUGAUACAGCAAUUAAAGGAGCAAUCCGCUAUGAGAUGGACCCGCGUCGCAUUAGCUAGUUGGUGAGGUAACGGCUCACCAAGGCGACGAUGCGUAGCCGACCUGAGAGGGUGAUCGGCCACAUUGGGACUGAGACACGGCCCAGACUCCUACGGGAGGCAGCAGUGGGGAAUAUUGCACAAUGGGGGAAACCCUGAUGCAGCAACGCCGCGUGAGUGAUGAAGGUCUUCGGAUUGUAAAACUCUGUCUUCAGGGAUGAUAAUGACGGUACCUGAGGAGGAAGCCACGGCUAACUACGUGCCAGCAGCCGCAGUAA
rnacentral:rRNA from 1 species